GACGAACGCUGGCGGCGUGCUUAACACAUGCAAGUCGUACGGUAAGGCCCUUUCGGGGGUACACGAGUGGCGAACGGGUGAGUAACACGUGAGUAACCUGCCCACAACUUUGGGAUAACGCUAGGAAACUGGUGCUAAUACUGGAUAUGUGCUCCUGCUGCAUGGUGGGGGUUGGAAAGCUCCGGCGGGUGUGGAUGGACGCGCGGCCUAUCAGCUUGUUGGUGGGGUAGUGGCCUACCAAGGCGGCGACGGGUAGCCGGCCUGAGAGGGUGACCGGCCACAUUGGGACUGAGAUACGGCCCAGACUCCUACGGGAGGCAGCAGUGGGGAAUAUUGCCCAAUGGGCGCAAGCCUGAUGCAGCAACGCCGCGUGCGGGAUGACGGCCUUCGGGUCGUAAACCGCUUUCAGCAGGGACGAAGCUUUUUGUGACGGUACCUGCAGAAGAAGCACCGGCUAACUACGUG
rnacentral:rRNA from 1 species